rnacentral:rRNA from 1 species
AUUGAACGCUGGCGGCAGGCCUAACACAUGCAAGUCGAACGGUAACAGGAAGCAGCUUGCUGCUUUGCUGACGAGUGGCGGACGGGUGAGUAAUGUCUGGGAAACUGCCUGAUGGAGGGGGAUAACUACUGGAAACGGUAGCUAAUACCUCAUAACGUCGCAAGACCAAAGAGGGUGACCAUCGGUCCUCUUGCCAUCGGAUGUGCCCCGAUGGGCUUAGCUAGUAGGUGGGGUAACGACUCACCUAGGCGACGAUCCCUAGCUGGUCUGAGAGGAUGACCAGCCACACUGGAACUGGAACACGGUCCAGAGUCCUACGGGAGGCAGCAGUGGGGAAUAUUGCACAAUGGGCGCGAGCCUGAUGCAGCCAUGCCGCGUGUAUGAAGAAGGCCUUCGGGUUGUAAAGUACGUUCAGCGGGGAGGAAGGGAGUAAAGUUAAUACCUAUGCUCAUUGACGUUACCCGCAGAAGAAGCACCGGCUAACUCCGUG